GAUGAACGCUAGCUACAGGCUUAACACAUGCAAGUCGAGGGGGUAGCAAUACAUGGGCGGCGACCGGCGCACGGGUGCGUAACGCGUAUCCAACCUUCCCGUUACUCAGGGAUAGCCUUCCGAAAGGGAGAUUAAUACCUGAUGGUGUUCAAAUUUCGCAUGUUAUUUGAACUAAAGAUUUAUCGGUAACGGAUGAGGAUGCGUACGAUUAGCUUGUUGGCGGGGUAACGGCCCACCAAGGCUACGAUCGUUAGGGGUUCUGAGAGGAAGGUCCCCCACACUGGAACUGAGACACGGUCCAGACUCCUACGGGAGGCAGCAGUGAGGAAUAUUGGUCAAUGGGCGCGAGCCUGAACCAGCCAAGUAGCGUGAAGGAUGACUGCCCUACGGGUUGUAAACUUCUUUUGUUUGGGAAUAAAUGAUACUACGUGUAGUAUUUUGCAUGUACCUUACGAAUAAGCAUCGGCUAAUUCCGUG
rnacentral:rRNA from 1 species